UAAGGGUGUAUUCUGGCCUGCAGUCUUUGGGAAAUCACCACAGGGGGUCAGACUACUGAAGCAUAGUCAAGCAAUAAAUCUAUCAGUGUCAGGGUAGAUGACUUUGUGUUGAGAAGCAUAUGUUUCCUCUGUGUGCUACAGAGUCAUCUUUAAACACUACUCAGUCUUGAUUACGCAGGAUGUUCUAAAUAACCAAAAUUCUUUUAAGGAAAAAAAUCUCUGUAAGCCCUUGGACAUAAAGCCAUCUUUCAAAAAGAGCAAAGGAAGGGCACAUGGAACUUCAAAUCUGAAGUGAUGCAGCAGCAAGUGAUGGCUGGUGACACCUGAAAGUGACAGGACUGUUGAUUAUCAUCAAGCAAGUUGCCUAAAUUUUAGACAGACCAGGAAACAUGUUCACUCAAUUCUUGUGGGCUUUUUUGAGACUAAAUAAAAUGUGUUUU